rnacentral:rRNA from 1 species
AGAACGAACGCUGGCGGCAGGCUUAACACAUGCAAGUCGAGCGGAAAGGCCCUUCGGGGUACUCGAGCGGCGAACGGGUGAGUAACACGUGAGUAAUCUGCCCCUAGCUCUGGGAUAGCUCCGGGAAACCGGGAUUAAUACCGGAUACGACCACUUUAGACAUCUGUUGUGGUGGAAAGAAUUUUGGCUAGGGAUGAGCUCGCGGCCUAUCAGCUUGUUGGUGGGGUAACGGCCUACCAAGGCGACGACGGGUA